UACGGGAGGCAGCAGUGGGGAAUAUUGCACAAUGGGCGCAAGCCUGAUGCAGCCAUGCCGCGUGUAUGAAAAAGGCCUUCGGGUUGUAAAGUACUUUCAGUCGUGAGGAAGGUGUUAAGGUUAAUAACCUUAGCAAUUGACGUUAGCGACAGAAGAAGCACCGGCUAACUCCGUGCCAGCAGCCGCGGUAAUACGGAGGGUGCGAGCGUUAAUCGGAAUUACUGGGCGUAAAGGGCACGCAGGCGGUUAAUUAAGUUGGAUGUGAAAUCCCCGGGCUUAACCUGGGAAUGGCAUUCAAGACUGGUUAGCUAGAGUCUUGUAGAGGGGGUAGAAUUCCAUGUGUAGCGGUGAAAUGCGUAGAGAUGUGGAGGAAUACCGGUGGCGAAGGCGGCCCCUGGACAAAGACUGACGCUCAUGUGCGAAAGCGUGGGGAGCAAACAGGGAUUAGAACC
rnacentral:rRNA from 1 species